AAGUCGUAACAAGGUUUCCGUAGGUGAACCUGCGGAAGGAUCAUUACCGAGUGAGGGCCCUCUGGGUCCAACCUCCCACCCGUGUUUAUUUUACCUUGUUGCUAUCGGCGAGCCUGCCUUUUGGCUGCCGGGGGACGUCUGUCCCCGGGUCCGCGCUCGCCGAAGACACCUUAGAACUCUGUCUGAAGAUUGUAGUCUGAGAUUAAAUAUAAAUUAUUUAAAACUUUCAACAACGGAUCUCUUGGUUCCGGCAUCGAUGAAGAACGCAGCGAAAUGCGAUACGUAAUGUGAAUUGCAGAAUUCAGUGAAUCAUCGAGUCUUUGAACGCACAUUGCGCCCUCUGGUAUUCCGGAGGGCAUGCCUGUCCGAGCGUCAUUGCUGCCCUCAAGCACGGCUUGUGUGUUGGGCUCCGUCCUCCUUCCGGGGGACGGGCCCGAAAGGCAGCGGCGGCACCGCGUCCGGUCCUCAAGCGUAUGGGGCUUUGUCACCCGCUUUGUAGGACUGGCCGGCGCCUGCCGAUCAACCAAACUUUUUUCCAGGUUGACCUCGGAUCAGGUAGGGAUACCCGCUGAACUUAA
rnacentral:rRNA from 1 species